rnacentral:rRNA from 1 species
GACGAACGCUGGCGGCGUGCUUAACACAUGCAAGUCGAACGAUGAAGCCGGAGCUUGCUCUGGCGAAUUAGUGGCGAACGGGUGAGUAACACGUGAGUAACCUGCCCUUGACUCUGGGAUAACUGCUAGAAAUGGUAGCUAAUACCGGAUACGACCCUCGGAGGCAUCUCCAGGGGGUGGAAAGAAUUUCGGUCAAGGAUGGACUCGCGGCCUAUCAGCUAGUUGGUGAGGUAACGGCUCACCAAGGCGACGACGGGUAGCCGGCCUGAGAGGGUGACCGGCCACACUGGGACUGAGACACGGCCCAGACUCCUACGGGAGGCAGCAGUGGGGAAUAUUGCACAAUGGGCGCAAGCCUGAUGCAGCAACGCCGCGUGAGGGAUGAUGGCCUUCGGGUUGUAAACCUCUUUUAGUAGGGAAGAAGCGAAAGUGACGGUACCUGCAGAAAAAGCACCGGCUAACUACGUGCCAGCAGCCGCGGUAA